rnacentral:rRNA from 1 species
ACGAACGCUGGCGGCGUGCUUAACACAUGCAAGUCGAACGGAAAGGCCCCUUUGGGGGUACUCGAGUGGCGAACGGGUGAGUAACACGUGAGUAACCUGCCCUUGACUUCGGGAUAACUUCAGGAAACUGGGGCUAAUACCGGAUAGGAAUCCUUGCUGCAUGGUGGGGGUUGGAAAGCUUCGGCGGUUUUGGAUGGACUCGCGGCUUAUCAGCUUGUUGGUGGGGUAGUGGCUUACCAAGGCUUUGACGGGUAGCCGGCCUGAGAGGGCGACGGCCACAUUGGGACUGAGAUACGGCCCAGACUCCUACGGGAGGCAGCAGUGGGGAAUAUUGCACAAUGGGCGGAAGCCUGAUGCAGCAACGCCGCGGGCGGGAUGACGGCCUUCGGGUUGUAAACCGCUUUCAGCAGGGGCGAAGCUUGUGGUGACGGUACCUGCAGAAGAAGCACCGGCUAACUACGUG